rnacentral:rRNA from 1 species
CCUACGGGCGACAGCAGUGAGGAAUAUUGGUCAAUGGGCGCGAGCCUGAACCAGCCAAGUAGCGUGAAGGAUGACUGCCCUACGGGUUGUAAACUUCUUUUAUACAAGAGUGAAGUGAGGCACGUGUGCCUUUUUGUAUGUACUUUAUGAAUAAGGAUCGGCUAACUCCGUGCCAGCAGCCGCGGUAAUACGGAGGGUCCGAGCGUUAUCCGGAUUUAUUGGGUUUAAAGGGAGCGUAGAUGGAGUGUUAAGUCAGUUGUGAAAGUUUGCGGCUCAACCGUAAAAUUGCCAUUGAUACUGGCAGGCUGGAGUGCAGAUGAGGUAGGUGGAAUUCGUGGUGUAGCGGUGAAAUGCUUAGAUAUCACGAAGAACUCCGAUGGCGAAGGCAGCUUACUAAACUGUAACUGACAUUGAUGCUCGAAAGUGUGGGUAGCAAACAGGAUUAGAUACCCUUGUAGUC